GCACUUCAGCCUGCAAGAUUCCAUCUCAAAAAAAAAUAAUAAUAAAUAAAUAAAUAAAUAAAGGAAGUUAGUGCUAAAUAAAUCUAGAUGUUUUGAAAGGAAUGAUGCAACAAGAUGAAACUGAGCCAAGUGUAGUAUCUAACACAGGAUCUUCAGUCAAGUAGAUGCUUAACAAAUGUUUGCUGGAUGAAAAAGUUCAUGAAGAAGUUAUUAAGAAAUGAGUAAAUUACAACCCCAUUACAUCGCUAAAAAACAAAAUGUUCAAUCAUAUUUAUAGCACUUUCAUAUACAUUCUCUCACAUAUCAUCCCAUGAGAUAACAGGACAAACAUUAUCAUCCCCACUUUAUAGAUGAGAAAGUUGAAGCUAGACACAUUGCAGAGAUCGUCAGAGACGGGGGACGAAUAAAACCUGGUUCCCCUGAUCCUUCACAUAACACUUUUCUCCCCAAUACACACAUGGCUUCUUCUGGGUUUCGGGGGUGAAGAUAAUUACAUUUUGGGCUCACAUGAAUCAUGUUUUCUCUUUAAAAUCCUUUACAAAACCCCAUCCUUUAACACAUGAUACUUUAUUUAACUGUCUGCAUCCUUCACUACACUGUAAGCUGCUUGAGGGCAGGAGCAACAUCUGUCCUGUUCACCACCGCAUUCUAUAACACAGCACAGUGCCUAGCACUUAGUCAAUAUUAGUUGCAUCUUUUUCCACUUGAAAUGCAAGAAGAGUUCCCAAGGAUGAGAUUCUCAAGGAUGGGGUGAUGGUCCUAUAAUGACCUAAGAUGCCAACUUUGCAUGACCUCCCUCCUCAUAUAUUUUAGGGAGGAAAGGUGGUAGUUUGCAGAGGUGGGGCAGGGGAGAGGGGCAUAAAAUAAUAUAUUUUCAGCUCAGCAUCUGGGGAUACUCUCAGAUCUCGGUGCCCAGCCCAGCUUCCUUCAAAAUGUCUACUGUUCAUGAAAUCCUGUGCAAGUUCAGCUUGGAGGGUGAACACUCUACACCCCUAAGUGCAUAUGGGUCAGUCAAAGCCUACACCAACUUUGAUGCUGAACAGGAUACUUUGAACACUGAAAUGGCCAUCAAGACCAAAGGUGUGGAUGAGAUCACCACUCUCAACAUUUUGACUAACCACAGCAAUGCACAGAGACAGGAUAUUGCCUUCACCUGCCAGAGAAGGACCAAAAAGGAACUUGCAUCAGCACUGAAGUCAGCCUUAUCUGGCCACCUAGAUAGUGGCUUUGGGCCUAUUAAAGACACCUGCUCAGUAUGACGCUUCUGAGCUAAAAGCUUCCAUGAAGGGGCUGGGAACCAACGAGGACUCCCUCAUUGAGAUCAUCUGCUGGAAAACCAACCAGGAGCUGCAGGAAAUUAACAGAGUCUAAAGGAAAUGUACAAGACUGAUCUGGAGAAGGACAUUAUUUCAGACACAUCUGGUGACUUCUGCAAGUCACCAGAUGCGUUGCCCUAGCAAACGGUAGAAGAGCAGAAGAUGGCUCUGUCAUUGAUUAUGAACUGAUUGACCAAAAUGCCCGGGAUCUCUAUGACACUGGGGUGAAGAGGAAAGGAACUGAUGUUCCCAAGUGGAUCACCAUCAUGACCAAGCAGAGCAUGUCCCACCUCCAGAAAGUAUUUGAUAGGUACAAGAGCUACAGCCCUUAUGACAUGUUGGAGAGCAUCAAGAAAGAGGUUAAUGGAGACCAAGAAAAUGCUUUCCUGAAGCUGGUCCAGUGUAUUCAGAACAAGCCCCUGUAUUUUGCUGACUGGCUGUAUCACUCCAUGAAGGGCAAGGGGACUCGAGAUAAAGGUACUGAUCAGAAUCAUGGUCUCCCACAAUGAAGUGGACAUGUUGAAAAUUAGGUCUGAAUUCAAGAGAAAGUACAGCAAGUCCCUGUACUAUUACAUCCAGCAAGACACUAAGGGUGCUGUACCUGUGUGUUGGAGAUGGCUGAAGCCCAACACAGCAUCAGCAUCCAGAAAUGAUGCUCCCCAUGCUUCCAGCUAACAGGUCCAGAAAACCAGCUUGUGACUAACAGUCCCUGUGGCUGUUCCUGUGAGGAUGAUAUUAGCAUUGCCCCCAACCUCAUUUUAGUUGCCUAAGCAGUGCCUGGCUUUCCUGUCUAGUUUCUCCUGUAAGCCAAAGAAAUGAACAUUCCCAGGAGUUGGAAGUGAAGUCUAUGAUGUGAAACACUUUGCCUCCUGUGUACUGUGUUAUAAACAGAUUAAUAAACUGAAUCUGUACUUUAGAAACAAGUUAAAAAUAUAUACUUUUUUUCCUGUAAAGUCUCUGGAUUCAUGCUAAGCAAUUUUAUACAUCCAUUUUAAGUUACACUGUUCUAGAGUAAAGUGUAAAUAAAGUGAGUGUCUCAGCAACUCAUUAAGGUAUGGUAUAUAAUGAAUUAAACAAUUUGAGACUAUUUACCUGUAAUUCUUUCACUCUCUCCCACAUCAUCUGACUUCCCCUUUGUUCAAUGACUCUUUUUAGUAUAAUAGCUGAUAAAACUAGCUCAUGGCUUCUAAUCAGCAAACUCUUUAAUAGUCAAGGAAAUAUAAUCCCUAUGUUUUAAAUCAUCAUCAACAGAUGCUCUAAACUAUUUCUCUAAACUCAUUCAGGAUUGUUUCCUAAUACAGUAUUAGAGUAAUGUAAUAACUCACUCACAGUGGGCAUACAAUUAAGUUUUCAAGCAUGAGAAGCAUCAAAUAUCUCAACUUUGGAAAACCACAGUAGUUAAAGGGCAUUUUCAAUGAAGAGGAAUCAUUGUGCAAUUUAAAAGGCAGGGGCUUCACUUCUCUAAGCUUCCAUUUCUUCAACAGUAAGGAUAAUUGUAUGUUGUCCUAGUAACGUGGCUCUUGGCAGGGCAAGGGCUGGGAGACUCGGAGGACAGGGGAGCUCUGAUUUGUAGCAUUUCCCAUUUCUAUAGUGUAAAUGCUUUCAUCAAGGCCAAUUGCAAGCUACCAACAUGAAGUCACUGAAUAAGUCAGUAUGGCUUGGCUCCAGCAUAACAAAUAUGAUACUGUAGGGUUAUUGGGAAUGGAAAGUAUAUUGUAUCUAUGAAGAAUUGUAAGUAGCACAAUGCCUGGUUCAGAGAAUGCCUCUUCCUUUCUCCUGCUUCCAUUCCCCAUCUAUUCCUUCCUGAAUGACAACACUUAUCUUUGACAUUUCACUGAAACUCAUGAUUUGAAGUAACUUCUCUAUACUUUUCGCUUCCAAAUUGAUGUCUCUAGCUCUGACUUCUUUGCUGAGCUCCAAACCUAUACUGCAAACUGCCUACUAUACACUUUAACCUGGAUGAUCAAAACUGAAACAUAUAUGCUCUUCCUCUUAGCUUCCUUUUCUUGGUUAAUAAUGAUAAUGACAGUAGUACUCAAUAUUUAUUGAGUCCUUACCAUGUGCCUGCACUGUUCUAAGCCUUUACAUGCAUUAUUUUAAUCCUCACCGUAUGUGGUAUACAUUAAUAUCAUUCCCAUUUUACAGAUAAACUAAGGCACAGAGAGUUCCCCUAAGUCAUAUGGCUAAUAAUAGCAGGCUGGGAUUCAAACUGGGCAAUUAAACUUUUUUUUUUUUUUUUUU